rnacentral:rRNA from 1 species
AUUGAACGCUGGCGGCAGGCCUAACACAUGCAAGUCGAGCGGAUGAAGGGAGCUUGCUCCUGGAUUCAGCGGCGGACGGGUGAGUAAUGCCUAGGAAUCUGCCUGGUAGUGGGGGAUAACGUCCGGAAACGGGCGCUAAUACCGCAUACGUCCUGAUGGAGAAAGUGGGGGAUCUUCGGACCUCACGCUAUCAUAUGAGCCUAGGUCGGAUUAGCUAGUUGGUGGGGUAAAGGCCUACCAAGGCGACGAUCCGUAACUGGUCUGAGAGGAUGAUCAGUCACACUGGAACUGAGACACGGUCCAGACUCCUACGGGAGGCAGCAGUGGGGAAUAUUGGACAAUGGGCGAAAGCCUGAUCCAGCCAUGCCGCGUGUGUGAAGAAGGUCUUCGGAUUGUAAAGCACUUUAAGUUGGGAGGAAGGGCAGUAAGUUAAUACCUUGCUGUUUUGACGUUACCAACAGAAUAAGCACCGGCUAACUUCGUG